rnacentral:lncRNA from 1 species
UCUGUAGUCAUUUGGUAAAAUGGGGUAUUCUCAUACUCUGGAUAGCUGUUUCUUCUAGAUAUCUCUGAAUUAGCCAUUAGAAAGUUUUCAUUUCAAAAGGUCAUAAUUCUGAAAUAUAUUUUAAUUGCAUCUGCUUCGGUAAACAGGGUAUAUUGAAGGAAGAAGAAUGUUGAGUUUGCAGUGCUGUAACGCUACUCUUCUACACAUCUCCCUAGUAUUUCUGUGUGUGGCUCUACUUAUAAAAAAAGCAAACUUUGAAAUUCUGUUUUAUGAAGGAAACUCAUGUGAAGAUGGAUAAAAUGGGAAGAUAUUUGAGGCUGAAGGUCAAUAUGGAGAGAUAUAGAUGAGACACAAUUGCAC